CAGUCGCCACGGUAAUACGUAGGUGGCAAGCGUUGUCCGGAAUUAUUGGGCGUAAGGGGCUCGCAGGCGGUUUCUUAAGUCUGAUGUGAAAGCCCCCGGCUCAACCGGGGAGGGUCAUUGGAAACUGGGAAACUUGAGUGCAGAAGAGGAGAGUGGAAUUCCACGUGUAGCGGUGAAAUGCGUAGAGAUGUGGAGGAACACCAGUAGCGAAGGCGACUCUCUGGUCUGUAACUGACGCUGAGGAGCGAAAGCGUGAGGAGCGAACAGGAUUAGAGACCCCCGUAGUCCCUGUCUCUUAUAC
rnacentral:rRNA from 1 species